rnacentral:tRNA from 1 species
GCCCCCGUAGCUCAGGGGAUAGAGCAGCGGUUUCCUAAACCGUUGGUCGGACGUUCGAUUCGUCUCGGGGGCGCCA